AAGAUGAUCUCAGCAGUAGAGAACUGGAGGAGUGCAGGAGAGAGGAGGAGGAGGAAGUGGAAGUAGAAGCGGAGUGGAAGAGCUAGGGUUCGUUCCGCCAUCUCCGGCAGUCGCCGAGAAAGAAGCGGAGCCCGAGUGGACCUUUUAUAGAGAUUCCUUCUUGGUAAACGCCCUUGUGAGAGAGGCUAAAUUGCAGCAGUACCCCUCUCAGUUUCACGCUCGG
rnacentral:lncRNA from 1 species